rnacentral:rRNA from 1 species
AACCGCAUGGUUCAAAAGUGAAAGACGGUCUUGCUGUCACUUAUAGAUGGAUCCGCGCUGCAUUAGCUAGUUGGUAAGGUAACGGCUUACCAAGGCAACGAUGCAUAGCCGACCUGAGAGGGUGAUCGGCCACACUGGAACUGAGACACGGUCCAGACUCCUACGGGAGGCAGCAGUAGGGAAUCUUCCGCAAUGGGCGAAAGCCUGACGGAGCAACGCCGCGUGAGUGAUGAAGGUCUUCGGAUCGUAAAACUCUGUUAUUAGGGAAGAACAUAUGUGUAAGUAACUGUGCACAUCUUGACGGUACCUAAUCAGAAAGCCACGGCUAACUACGUGCCAGCAGCCGCGGUAAUACGUAGGUGGCAAGCGUUAUCCGGAAUUAUUGGGCGUAAAGCGCGCGUAGGCGGUUUUUUAAGUCUGAUGUGAAAGCCCACGGCUCAACCGUGGAGGGUCAUUGGAAACUGGAAAACUUGAGUGCAGAAGAGGAAAGUGGAAUUCCAUGUGUAGCGGUGAAAUGCGCAGAGAUAUGGAGGAACACCAGUGGCGAAGGCGACUUUCUGGUCUGUAACUGACGCUGAUGUGCGAAAGCGUGGGGAUCAAACAGGAUUAGAUACCCUGGUAGUCCACGCCGUAAACGAUGAGUGCUAAGUGUUAGGGGGUUUCCGCCCCUUAGUGCUGCAGCUAACGCAUUAAGCACUCCGCCUGGGGAGUACGACCGCAAGGUGAAACUCAAAGGAAUUGACGGA